GAGCCAUAAUCAAGAAUCUGAGGUUCAACCGACUGAGCCACCCAGGCACCCCUUACUGUUGACCUUCUGAUGAUACGUUAGAAGGAGGACCAUCUCUGCUUCCAAACGGCAUUUGACUGCAGUAUUUUGGGAGCAUCUAUUCGCCCUCUCCGUUACCAACACUGAAUGCCUUCAAUUUAAAACCUGUUUUUUGCUAAUCUGAAAGGAACCUCAUUCAUUCAAUCAACAAUUAUGAAGCACCUACUGCAUGCACCGCACACCAUGUUACAUAAUGAAAAGAUAAUGAAGCAAUGAAGCAGUCUCAGCUCUGAUGACUUAUCAGGUUUUUGGCACUAUAAUUCUGCAGUGCACAGUUUUACAAAGAGCCUUCUGUACUGGUUCUUUUAUUUCUACUAGCUACAUUCACAGGAGUGCAAUACAUGGAUCAAAGGCUCUAGAAGUUUCUUCUACAAAGAUGCCGUGUCCUUUACAACCACCUGGGUACCUGGAGUACAGGUAAUGUAGGAAAACAAGAUAAAGGAUUGAUUCCAGAAGAGCCGGUUUCCUGGAAUCCUCCAAAGUUAUUAAUUUUGUUUCAGCAGCCUCUGGGAGCCUCUUCAGGCUGUCUGGUGUGUCCUUUGCACACAGCGAAGGGAAUCUUUGUGGUCAUAUCAGAGGAAAGGAAGCUCAGAUGCAGGAGGCCUGGACCUGUCCUGGCUGUAGCCCCAGGGACACUGCUGCCUUCUAGGGAAAAUGAAGUGGGACCACCAUCUGGGCACUUGGCAUUAUCGGCUUAGUCACUGUUUCUGGACUUUUUCAGUAGGCAGAGUAGAAAAUGGUGUUUAUUUAUCAGAUUACACGUGUCAUAAGUUUAUAUUAAUAGUUUUUGUUUUGAGAGAGAGAGAGAGGGUGCAAGUGAGCGAGGGCAGAGAGAGAGAGA